GAUGAAGAACGCAGCGAAAUGCGAUACUUGGUGUGAAUUGCAGAAUCCCGUGAACCAUCGAGUCUUUGAACGCAAGUUGCGCCCGAAGCCAUUAGGCCGAGGGCACGCCUGCCAGGGCGUCACACGUCGUUGCCCCCCCAUCUACUCCUUCGGGAUUGCGGGGGGCGGAUGGUGGCCUCCCGUGCGCCUCGUCGCGCGGUUGGCAUAAAUGCCAAGUCCUCGGCGACGCACGCCACGACAAUCGGUGGUUGCGAAACCUCGGUUGCCCGUCGUGUGCGGUCGUCGCGCAUCGAGGGCUCGAAAAAAUUGUCGGGCUCCGGCUCGGCUUUCAACGCGACCCCAGGUCAGGCGGGGUUACCCGCUGAAUUUAAGCAUAUCAAUAAGCGGAGGA
rnacentral:misc_RNA from 1 species